rnacentral:piRNA from 1 species
UGACAGUGACAGUCAUGCAUGCUUGGAGCCA